CAGGCCUUUUAAAUUCAAUACUGAGAAAUUUAAAUAUAGAAAGGUAAGACUCGUACAGAAUUUCAUAUUUAAAGACAAUUUUAUAGCCAUGUUUACCUAAUGUAUUUUUGGGUUUUGUUAUUUAUAAAAACUGUUUUAUCAUGAGUCAUUGCUACAAUAACUUAUUAAUUAUAUUGCAUGAUCAAUUAACGGACACCAGCUGUAUCACAUUUGAUAAUUGUGAAAGUAUAAGAAAACAGUUUGACUUCACUUCGAAUCUACUUGUUAAAAGCAGUGCUCUCUAAAAUACUGAACAAAACCAUACAUAUAACGGUGACAUUUAAAAUGAUACCGAGCAGGACUUUAGUUUGUAAAACUAGAAUAGAGGAAAAG
rnacentral:sRNA from 1 species